AGGAGAGUGGAAUUCCUGGUGUAGCGGUGAAAUGCGUAGAUAUCAGGAGGAACACCGGUGGUGUAGACGGCUCUCUGGACCGUAACUGACGCUGAGACACGAAAGCGUGGGUAGCAAACAGGAUUAGAUACCCUGGUAGUCCACGCCCUAAACGAUGCAUAUUUGGUGUGGGCAGUUCAUUCUGUCCGUGCCGGAGCUAACGCGUUAAAUAUGCCGCCUGGGGAGUACAGUCGCAAGGCUGAAACUCAAAGGAAUUGACGGGGGCCCGCACAAGCGGUGGAGCAUGUGGUUCAAUUCGACGCAACGCGAAGAACCUUACCUGGGCUCGAACGGCUGGUCAACGGAGGUGGAAACACUUCUACCCCGCAAGGGGGUCCAGUCGAGGUGCUGCAUGGCUGUCCUCAGCUCGUGUCGUGAGAUGUUGGGUUAAGUCCCGCAACGAGCGCAACCCUUGUCCUGUGUUGCCAUCAUUCAGUUGGGAACUCGCAGGAGACCGCCAGGGAUAACCUGGAGGAAGGUGGGGAUGACGUCAAGUCCUCAUGGCCUUUAUGUCCAGGGCUACACACGUGCUACAAUGGACGGUACAAAGCGCAGCAAACCCGCGAGGGGGAGCCAAUCGCAAAAAACCGUUCUCAGUUCGGAUUGCAGGCUGCAACU
rnacentral:rRNA from 1 species